rnacentral:rRNA from 1 species
AUUGAACGCUGGCGGCAUGCCUUACACAUGCAAGUCGAGCGCGAAAGGGGGCAACCCCGAGUAGAGCGGCGGACGGGUGAGUAACGCAUCGGAACGUGCCCAGUAGUGGGGGACAACCUCGAGAAAUCGAGGCUAAUACCGCAUACGACCCACGGGUGAAAGCGGGGGACCGCAAGGCCUCGCGCUAUUGGAGCGGCCGAUGUCCGAUUAGCUAGUUGGCGGGGUAAGAGCCCACCAAGGCGACGAUCGGUAGCUGGUCUGAGAGGACGACCAGCCACACUGGGACUGAGACACGGCCCAGACUCCUACGGGAGGCAGCAGUGGGGAAUAUUGGGCAAUGGGCGCAAGCCUGACCCAGCCAUGCCGCGUGCGGGAAGAAGGCCU